AUUUUUCUUCCUUGUAAAAGAUUUCACUUUCUUAUCACUAAAUUCUUACUUUUCUUCUCAUUAGUCAUUAGUCUUUUCGCUUUUUUUUUUUUAAAAAGCCGCGGCUUAUUUUCUAGGGUUCCAUUAUGUCGAAUCUAUGAUAACGAUGCUAUUCCUUCGAUUCAUUGUGCUUUUAGUUUCAUGUUGAACCUUAAUUGUAUAAAAUUUUCUGGGUCAUCCCCGUUGAUCAACUUGCUGUUUUUUUUCCUGAGUAAGUUUUUUUCUUCUUCUUUUUGCUGAUGAUAACUGUGUGAUUCGUUUUCAGUUGAAAAUCUUUGUUUUUUUAAUAUCUUGUAAUGAUCGCUUUGCAAAAAGUUCUGGGUUGUAAUCGAAUUGGUCUAAUUAGGUAUUUUUUUUGUAGGUAUAAUAUAUGUAGGAACUAUUAGAAUUUUCACAUAUUCUUAAUUUUCUUCUUGGUGUUGCUACUUGUUAAUUGGGCACGAUUUAUAAUCUGGGUCAGUUUCAAAAUCUUAAAUUUAUCUCUCCUUCACUAGAUAUAAGUGUUUCCUUUUGAUUCUCGUGGGGAUUUCUACUUGUGAUGGACGACGGGGAGCUUGAUUUUUCGAACCAAGAAAUGUUUUGCGGUAAUAACACGAGUGAUAUUCCAAGCAGUUGCUCAAUGGACAGCUUUUUAAAUGAAUUACUCAAUGAUUCUCAUGCAUGUACCCAUACACACACUUGCAACCCACCUGGCCCUGAUAACUCUCAUACACACACCUGUCUCCAUGUUCAUACCAAAAUUGUGCCUGCCCCAACCGAAGAUAAGGCUGCUACUGAUGACACCGCUGGGUCUAGGGAGAAGAUAUCGAAGAAACGUCCUACCGGUAAUCGGGAAGCUGUUAGGAAGUAUAGGGAAAAGGUUAAGGCACGAGCAGCCUCGUUGGAGGAUGAGGUUCUGAGCUUGAGGACAGUGAACCAGCAGCUGUUGAAGAGAUUGCAGGGUCAGGCUGCACUGGAGGCUGAGAUUGCAAGGCUUAAGUGUUUGCUUGUGGAUAUUCGAGGAAGAAUUGAAGGGGAGAUUGGAUCAUUUCCUUAUCAGAAAUCAACAGGUAAUGUUAACAUGAUGAAUUUUCCUGGUGCUUAUGUGAUGAAUCCCUGCAACGUGCAAUGCAAUGAUCAGAUGUAUUGCCUUCACCCUGGGGUGGAAGGUAAAACAGGAGAAGCUGCAGCACUUAAUGGACAAGGAUUUAAUGGGUGUGAGUUCGACAAUAUUCAGUGUCUGGCAAAUCAGAACUCUGGAGCAAAGGAGCUCUCUACAGGUGGGGUUGGAACUGCAGGGGCCAAUGGCAAUUCUUCUGGGACAAAAAGGAGGAAAGCAGGUUGAAGAACUGUUGAGACAAGCAUUAUCCAUGUUCCGUGGGGUACAUAUUUGUCUUCCAACAAGCGGUUUUCUUAGGAUGCAUCACCUAUCUUCUUCCCUCAGGUUGCAUUACCUUUUUUUUUUAUUUACCCUUUUCAUUUCCUGUUCUUUCUUUUAAAAAUUUUGUUAACCCUACUUAUGGGUUAUUCAAGGUGAGUUGAUGGUGUUCUUAGUCUAUGGUUUAAGGCCGAACAAACUUGUAAAGCUGAAACUUCUGGAUUGUAGCCUGUAGCAUUUAUAAGCAGCGACUGACGGUCUGCUUUCUUGCCAAGCUAAAUUCAACUAAAUAAAUUGCCUUACUAUCAAUGAUGCUAUGGUUUGCUGAUUUUCUUAAAAAUUUAAUUAGGGAAGGUGGAAUAUCUUUGAUGUUUCCAUACUGUGAGCCCAUAGCAGGUGAGUUACAAGUGUUACUGCCUGCCGUCGUAGCAUGGGAAGCUACAAAUUAGCUUGCAUAGCUUUCAGCCAUUCCUAUUCCAGUUUUGCGUGGUAUCGACAAAGCACACAGGAACUUUGCUUUUGCCAUAAGCAAUCUGUUUAGGAAAGCUGGAGAUGUAAACUCCAGGGGGAAGUGCCGUUUUUUAACUGAGGUUUUGAUCAACAAAUGUCUGAUGAAAACUCAUAGUUGUAACUGAUAAUUGCCCUUAAAAGUAGCUGCGCUCUAGUGGUGUUAUGAACCAGGUCGAAUUCAUAUUUAGUA